rnacentral:rRNA from 1 species
AAUUUUUAUGGAGAGUUUGAUCCUGGCUUCAGGAUGAACGCUGGCGGCGUGCCUAA